CCAACAACAACAAAAAGGAGCGGGCCAUCAAAAAAAUGAAGGGAGUGGACCCUGUAGGGGGUUACAGGAUUGUGUAAACAUUUGCAGACACACACACACACACACACACACACACACACUCACACACACACACACACACACACACACACACACACACACACACACACACACACACACAGGUGGUCAAGUAGAUGGUUUCCAUUAUCAACUUCUAAAAGUAGAACCAGGUAGAGCUCUGGGAUGCAGCAGCCUGAUCAACCAAUCAGAGAGAGCCUUCAGAGACCCAUAAAAGCCUCCCAUUGGAUGAAUUAUUCAGAUCGUAGGGACAGAGACAGCCAUUAACCUACAUCUUCCCCAAAUACACACAUGUCUCCCUCCUUCAUACACACCCAACCCUCUGUACACAGACACACUGUUGCAGAUUACACCUUGGCUACUGAUUUUGUACAUUACCACUCAGCCCCAUAGUGCUGCGGAUAUAGACCAGCUCAAUAUUUCUUAAUGUACACUACACAAGCCCUUCUUACACACAUACAAUCCUAACUUUGUAAAUAACGCUGCUUUCAGGGUCUAUCUAGACCUGUAAUACCCCGUAUAAUAACACCAAUCCAAACACUCGAGACAUCCAACUACUUUACUGGCUCUUAGUGAUCCAGCCCAACUGAAAAAAUAGAGCAGAAUAGUCUGAAGAAGUUUUAAGGCUCAUUAAAAUGAUUAACCAAAGCCACUUUGCAGACUAGGGAAGAAAAAGUGCCUUUGAAAUGAGAAAAAUAAAUAAAGUGAUUUUGUUUGAAUUUGGCAGCACCUUCCUGCUGCAAGUCACAGAUAGAACACGUAAUAAAAGUGAUCAGAGAUAUGGAAAUGCAUUUGAGAGAAAAUGGCUUCACUGCUAAUUGCCUCACUUCUGCGUGCAAUAAAUGCUAAAAAGGAUAACUAUGUGAUGAGUUGGGCAGGUUUCUGAAAUGGUUAACACCAGGAAUGGCAGAAUCAUUGCCUGACUGUUUGCCAGGCACUGUGCUCUCAAACUGCCGUGUAACCAUCAAAUUAGUUUUGCAGGUAUUCACCACACCUGUCAAAACAUCCAGCACAUCCGCCACAAGACAAAUUUCUUUUCCUCCCCCUCCUCCUGCCAACAACUCUGUUGUAAAACAGUGGAAAAUAAGUGGCUCUAUAAAUCAAACAAUGUUGGUAGUGUUUUUUAGAGGAAAUAUUUUUAAAGUACAGGAUGUUUAAGAUGUUAGUCGCCUUGUCUGUAACUCACUAGGGAAGACACACCUAGUCAGUUCCCAAUACUGACACGCAGUAGAUCAUAAAUUGAGGUCUCUCUGUUAAAUUAAUCAUGGGUUGCCUUCCACCCACCUUUCCUCUCUGAGAGACAGCUGCAGUCAUGCAUGCACAUCUGUCUAUAAUAGCACAGAUGUGCACACAUAAACACCCAGGAACACUUAUACUGCAUAUAGAAAGCCUUAAUAGUUUGGGCUAAUUGGACUUUUAUCAUUUUUUCCUCCAUAUUCCAUGUGUCCAUACUGCUUACACAUGUUCAUAUUAGAUACAUGAACAGAUACGAUGCCAUACAUCUCAGUUACAUUGCGGAGACAGAUAAAUGCUUAUAUUCACAAUUGCACACAUAAAUUAAUAAUUACAUGCACAUGUCAAGUGCUUAAGUGGAUCACAUACGCACAUGUAGGUAGCAUUUUACUGCAUACAGUCCACCAUCUGUGCACAUGUCAAGUCAGUGUGUGGAAUACACAUGCACGCAUGCACGCACACAGAUUGAGGUCAGGGCAGAUGCAUAGGGAAUAUUUGAUUCACACUUUCUGCUGGUGUUGGAGAAUUUUUCAACCUUGUUUAUCCCAAACCCCAGACAGCCAAACUGCUUAACAAAUUUAAUCUGGAAAAAAACACAUUAUCUUUAGAGUGUGCACUUGAGUAGGCAGUGCAUCCAUUAAUAAGACAAAAGGGGCAGUGCACUUUCACUUAUGUAUAAAAAUUCAUAUUUAAAGUGGUGUUCAUUGAUCAUACUGUGGUAUGUUAGCUGUUGAAACUGCACUUAGUGUUUAUACUUUACAUAUACUUCAGUUUAAGGGUUCAUUUCUUUAAUGUUGGAGUGAAUUUGAAAGUGUCUGUAAACGACUUCUAUUAAUUAGUGCAACGCUAUGCUAUAACACUACCAGAUAUACUCCCAAAGCUUUCUGAAGCUUUUGCAGUGUGAGAUUGAUUGAAUCAAACGUGCGAAUUAGGGAACAUUUGAUUGGUUGAACCUUCACAGUCGGUUUAGUUUGUAGGUUUAGUUCACUUUUUAUUCAUACAAAAAAAGGAUUAAUAUGCUCAUAAUUAGAAGAAAUACCCACAUUACAAUCCCUUUGGGGCUUAAAAAAAAGAGAAAAAUAAUCAAUCUGCCAAAGUGCUAAUUAGGCGUCAGAGGCAAACUACAUUUUUUUUAAAAAAAAACAUCAGAGUGAAGAAUGUUUAAAAAAAUGCAACAAAAUGGAUAAAUAAAAACAAAAGGUAAAAAUAAUUAAUUUAAAUAGCCCUGAAGCAACUACUGAUGAAAGUCAAAGUGAAUUAAGCAGAACGAUUGUGAAGUGUGGGUGUCUUUCUGUUUGUCUGGGUGUGUAUGUACGCAUCAGUACGUAUGUGUGUUUAUAAGAACUGUAGACUGAGAGAGAAAGAAAGAUUGUGUUUUCUAUAAUGGAGAGAAAACUUCAACCAGACAUAUUAUCAGUCUGUAUCUGAAAUAUUCCAAAAUUGUAGCUUCAUCAGCAACAUGAAUGUAUCUUUUUCUGUUUGUUGCUAUAAGUGUGAACUUGCAUUUAAACUAAAGCUAUGUUUUAUUUUACAUAAAAGUAUAAUACAUAUAUUACCAUCUGAUAAAUAACAGCCAGUUUUUUGUUAUGUAUUCUUAACUGUUUAGUGUGAAGUGGAGUUUUAUCAACCAUUGGACAGCCAAAUCGGUAGAACAGUUGCUUGGAUAAAACCACCUGUGACAAGUAUUUAUACUGAUGAGUGAUGACAAUAGAGAAUGGACUGAGCAUUAGCCUAAACACCUAAACAGAGUAAAAAUGACCUCUGCUGUGUCCACAACCUAAAGCAAAAGUUCAACAUUUCAGAGAAACCCUUAGUUUUUUGUACAGAUUAAACAAACAAGACACAUGUUAACUAAUGAGCUUUACAGGUGCUGGUAGGUAAAUUUUGUUCAGGGCCACGCUAGCUGUCUCCCCUGUUUCCAGUCUGUGUGCUAAGCUAACCAGCUGCUGGCUUUAUAUUUCAAGGACAGACAUGAAAUUGGUAUCGAUCUUCUCAUCUCACUCUUUGCCAGAGAAGCGUGGAGCAAAACAAGCGGGAGGCUUAUUCAUGUUAAGUCAGGAUUUGCUCCACUGGGAGCUACAUUAAAAACAUAUUUCGUCCAGUAUUUCCUUGUAUUUCAACAAGCUGAACAUUUCAGGAAAUUUUCAUUCUUCAACUUGGGAUUUUUAUAACCAAGACUCCUCUGUACAAUUAAACAAAAUAGAGUAAGCUAUAUUGCCUUCAGAAGCUAUAAGUUAUUGUCCUGUAAACCCGUACAGUUUCUAUUAUAAUCAUGAUGCUAGGCUCUUUUUAGGGUUAAAUUGCUUUGAUUUGCACAUAAUUGUACAUAUUUUAUGUUUGACCAUUGUAAAUUGCAGAUUUUCUUGGAACUGAGAGGUUUGAGCUAAAAAUUGACAAAAUGCUAACACUGGGAAAUAUGACAGUACAGUAUAAUAGGUUUUAAACUGGAAGUUAAUGUUAUUUUAUGUUUUAUCUUUAGUGUAUUUCUCCUUUUUAUUUCCUUUGUACACUCUGAUACAUAAUAUUAUUGUUUUAUAACUGAACAAGUGCCUGUUUUACCUUCACGUGUUUGUGACAGAAAUACUAUGAUAGAUAUACAAAACUCAUUUUUCACUGGUUUUUAUCAGAAAUGGUAUGUCCUCAAACGCACAGUCCUCAACGCCUCAAUUUAAAGAAAAGUAUACAUGUAAGUAAUUGCACACUGGUGACCCUUAAACCUCUUCAUCGUCAGGAUACACAAAACAUGUCAAGUCAUGUCAUAUUCAGCAUAAAGGUGAAGCUGAACAAAACAAACGGCUACAUUUGGAGCGACAAGGACUUUCUGGCUAUGAUUCUAUUCCGUUAACUGUUGUAAAGCUGCGUUCAAGAGGCCGUUCUGCUCAUUUGAAAAAGAUAUUUCCUUCUUCAGAAGAAAGAAAGUUUUUUUUCUUCUUUUCAAUAAAAGAAAUCAUUCAUUGGUGUCCCUCA